UACGUAGGGUGCGAGCGUUGCCCGGAGUUUAUUGGGCGUAAAGAGCUCGUAGGCGGUUUGUCGCGUCUGCUGUGAAAACGCGAGGCUCAACCUCGCGCCUGCAGUGGGUACGGGCAGACUAGAGUCCGGAAGAGGAGAGCGGAAUUCCUGGUGUAGCGGUGAAUGCGCAGAUAUCAGGAAGAACACCCGUGGCUAAGGCGGCUCUCUAGUACGGUACUGACGCUGAGACGCGAAAGCGUGGGGAGCGAACAGG
rnacentral:rRNA from 1 species